rnacentral:tRNA from 1 species
GGGCGCGUAGCUCAAUUGGCAGAGCAAGGGACUCUUAAUCCCUAGGUUGUAGGUUCGAUUCCUACCGCGCUCACCA